rnacentral:rRNA from 1 species
UAGGGAAUCUUCGGCAAUGGACGAAAGUCUGACCGAGCAACGCCGCGUGAGUGAAGAAGGUUUUCGGAUCGUAAAACUCUGUUGUUAGAGAAGAACAAGGACGUUAGUAACUGAACGUCCCCUGACGGUAUCUAACCAGAAAGCCACGGCUAACUACGUGCCAGCAGCCGCGGUAAUACGUAGGUGGCAAGCGUUGUCCGGAUUUAUUGGGCGUAAAGCGAGCGCAGGCGGUUUCUUAAGUCUGAUGUGAAAGCCCCCGGCUCAACCGGGGAGGGUCAUUGGAAACUGGGAGACUUGAGUGCAGAAGAGGAGAGUGGAAGUCCAUGUGUAGCGGGGAAAUGCGUAGAUAUAUGGAGGAACACCAGUGGCGAAGGCGGCUCUCUGGUCUGUAACUGACGCUGAGGCUCGAAAGCGUGGGGAGCAAACACG